GCGGUAUGCUUAACACAUGCAAGUCGAACGGUAACAGGCCUUCGGGCGCUGACGAGUGGCGGACGGGUGCGUAACGCGUAGGAAUCUGCCUGUUAGUGGGGGACAACGUGGGGAAACUCACGCUAAUACCGCAUACGCCCUACGGGGGAAAGCGGGGGAUCUUCGGACCUCGCGCUAACAGAGGAGCCUGCGUUGGAUUAGCUAGUUGGUAGGGUAAAGGCCUACCAAGGCGACGAUCCAUAGCUGGUCUGAGAGGACGAUCAGCCACACUGGGACUGAGACACGGCCCAGACUCCUACGGGAGGCAGCAGUGGGGAAUAUUGGACAAUGGGCGCAAGCCUGAUCCAGCAAUACCGCGUGUGUGAAGAAGCCUGAGGGUUGUAAAGCACUUUCAAUAGGGAGGAAUAGCUAUCGGCUAAUACCCGGUAGUCUGACAUUACCUAUACAAGAAGCACCGGCUAACUCCGUGCCA
rnacentral:rRNA from 1 species